UUUCGAUUCCCUCCCGAAAUUUCACUUCCCCCUCCCCAAAUUUCACUUCCCUCCUUCUCCAUUUUCGACUUCCCUCCUUCCCCAUUUUCGACUUCCCACUUCAAUCGAAAACCUCACCAAUUAGAGAAAAGAUGUUUCAUCCACUCUCUUUUCAGCUUUUAGUUGUAAUAGAAAAAUAGAAAGAAACUGGAGCUGAAAACAGAUUCGAUCUGUUUCGAUUCGGUGGAGGUGGCGGUGACUAUUUGAGUUGAUUCAACUCAUAGUGAGGUUACUCGGUGUGAGAUAUACUCUGGGUUGACAGAUUUUGGCAAGAAUUUCAAUACAAGAAGGUGGACUUUGGCAAUGGUGUACCUGUGAAAACUUCAGUGGAACCUAAAGUAUCUGAGGAAGGGCUUCUUGAUGCUAUUUAGCAGGAUUACUUCCCAUCUGCCUCCUUAGAGAGUUUUGAAUUACCUCUUUCAGAAUAAAAAAGGGUUGGGUCUGAAGGAAAGCCACUAGUCAUCAUUGAUGAUUAUAUGGGCUGCAGUAAGGUAUACAUUGCCUGCUUUCCUUUUCCUGAUUUAUGGAAAUUGGUGGUUCAUUUGUGCUGUUAUUAUGCUAGCAGGAGGUAUAGGAAUUUCUACUAUGAUAAUUGGCGGACCUCAUGAAAAGCACAUGCAGGAGCUUAUCCGUUAUCUCCAAUUUGGACUAUGGUGGCUGGCUCUUGGUGUUACCAGUAAAACUUCUGUGAAUUGAACAAACAAUUUCAGUGAACCUUAUAGCUGAUUCUUGGUUAGAUGAAUCUGUUGUAAUUGCUCCUCUUAUGCAGCAUGCCCCGACCAAGUUUGGGAGGUUAGAUUAUGUUAAAAGGUCUACUCGGCUGGACAGGUACCAUUGCCCAGAUCGUGAGAACCCCGCUAAGAUUUUAGCUGAUCUUAUAUCUG